rnacentral:rRNA from 1 species
GACGAACGCUGGCGGCGUGCUUAACACAUGCAAGUCGAACGAAGUGGCGAACGGGUGAGUAACGCGUAAUCAACCUGCCCUUCAGAAGGGGACAACAGUUGGAACCGACUGCUAAUACCGCAUACUGAAGGAGGGGAUUGCGUCUGAUUGGCUAGUUGGAGGGGUAACGGCCCACCAAGGCGAUGAUCAGGAGCCGGUCGGAGAGGAGGAACGGCAACAUUGGGAAUGAGAAAAGGCCCAGAAUCCUACGGGAGGCAGCAGUGGGGAAUCUUCCGAAAUGGACGAAAGUCUGACGGAGCAACGCCGCGGGAGGGAUGACGGCCUUCGGGUUGUAAAGCUAUGUUAAUCGGGACGCGGUACCGGAAUAGAAAGCCACGGCUAACUACGUGCCAGCAGCCGCGGUAAUAC